CUUACUUCUCUCAAAGCAGCCACAACCUCCACCUUAAUCUCUUUCUAUCCUCAUUUCCCUUUUUCCGGCGAAACGCCGCCACACUCCGCCCCCUCUCUUCUCCGUUCUCAUGCCCUUCUCCAAUAGGAGACUCUCUCUCUCCUCCAUUCCUUACGGCGUGAGCCAGCAGCAGCUGGCAUCCUCUUUCUCCCUCUUUCUCUCCCCCUUCUUCAUUUCUCUCUAGUUGCCUCUCCUCUUUUUCCCUCACCUCGUUCCCUCUUCUUUUCUCCCCUUCUCUCCUUCUCGUUCCUCUCUUCCUUGACCUCUCUACUCCAGCCCAUCUCCCAACCUUCUCCUUCCCUUCCCCUUACUUCUCUCCAUUUUGCAGGCGAUAGUAGCGGACGACUACGAGAGACCAGUGGCAGCAGCUCCAGCCAGCAGUUCUGCCUAGGACUGCCAGGCAGCAGCAACUAGCAGAAUGCCUGGCCAGUGCCUCCUCUCUCCUCUCCUCCACCUCUCGUUCUUCUCGCCCUUCCCCUUCUUUUCCGUUCUUUUUUUUUUCAGGACCAGGAGCAGCAGUAGAAGCGAGAACCUGCAGCUCCGACAACUCCUACUGGCAAACACUCUGAGCGAAGAAUAUGGAUAAGGGCAGAUCUUUACAGAUCUGUCCGAGAGUCAUGAAUGAGUAUGAACUCCCAAACCCUCAGAUGGUGAAAGAGGUUAGUCAGAGACUUAAGACAUGGUGGAUGGAUAUAAGGAGAGAUAGGGAAAGGGAAAUUCAUCAAUUGUUGGGUGGCCUCACAUUUCUUAUUUUUGUCAUACCAAACCCUCACCUGAUAGGGCGCUACUAGUGUUUUAGGACCCUGUGAAGAUGGGGUUCAAUUUUACAGAUUGCAACUUGACACCAAUAAUUGAAGAAAUUAACGGAUUCGUCGACCUUCCAUACCAUGAAUGUCAAAUGAUGGUACCUUAUAAGCCAUUAUCAAGGGAAUUUCUAGAAAGUAUGGGUAUGAAGUCAAAUCCAACCUGGACUUCUUUAGACCUUGGGUGGACUUAUUUAGACAUCUUAUACUCAUGAUUCGGCCGAGAUGAUGGCUACUGCAUUUAUGACUAUGAAUUUGAGUGCUCCUUUGAAGAAUGGGAAAAGUAUGUCUGGAUACCUUUGCCAUCGCCUUAUUGGGAUCAUUACUUUUUCCUAAAUUAAGGGGAAGAAUCGAUACAUGUCUAUGGUUUGUCGUUUGAGACCUAGUUCAAGGAGCGGGUGAGCCUAGGAAAACCAUAGAGCACAUGAUCGUGGCGGAGAUAAUGAGGAGUAUCUCAACAUGUGUUGAUGGUAGAAUGUUCUUCGAGGGAUGCAACCUUUCUACUUCAACUAUGGGCUAUCCAUCACUUCCAUAAGCGAUAUGACGUGGUAGAUACCUGUCUUGGUCAAGGCAACAAGAUUGAUUACUAUUUAAGAAGGUUGGCUCGUAUCGCCACGUCUAUAGGAUUUGUGGACUGGCAGAUAUUUCUGACUGAGCUUGAGAGCCACUGAAUUCAAUGGAAGCUUCAUUGGUUGUCCAUGCCUAAUGUCAUAGUAAGAGGGGACGACUGGUACUUCAUCGAGAUUAUUGGUUUGAGAGGUGUCCAACCAUAUGCGCCUCUUCAAGUACUUUGCAAAUUUGGGAAAACUCAAAUCAUACCACUCCGAUCUGACAUGGAGCCAUUUAUGAGUUUGGACUAGAUAAACCACAAGUCCACAACAUACUUCGAUGAUGGGAGCGUGUGUUGACUAUUUAUAUCGGUACACGACAGGCUUUAUGCACACAUGAGUACUGCAUAUGGAUCUUAAUAGAAUCUUAAGUCCCAAUAUCAAGUGGAGAAAGAUACCAUGGGCUUGCCGAUGAAAAGCAAAACAUAUGGGCACGAAGUGUGUUGAACAUGAGACAUGAAUACCCUCCAAUUACAAGAUGUCAAUUGGCGCCAAGAUCUUGGAGUCGAUACCUCCAAGAUUUCAGAAUUUAGGAUGAUUUCCCCCAAGUUAUACCUUUUCCCUUAGUUUAUUUCAGUUUUGUUAUGAUGUAUUGUUCGAAUUUUAUAAUAAACGAAAGUUAUUUUGUUUCUUCUAAUCUAAACUCCAAUUGGAAAAUAAGGCUUGGAUUAA